rnacentral:lncRNA from 1 species
GGGAGGUGGUCUCACUCUUGGGAAAACUGCUGGGCACCGUCGUCGCGCUGAAGGUGGUUCUGUACCUGCUCCGAGUGUGCUUAGCGAUGGCCUGGAAAUCCGGCGGCGCCAGCCACUCGGAGCUAAUCCACAAUCUCCGCAGCAUGAUGGCUCAUACCUGUAAUACCAGCACUUUGGGAGGACGAGGAAGGUGGAUCACCUAAGAAAAUGGAAUCAUCAAGACAGAUAAAGUAUUUGAAGUGAUGCUGGCUACAGACCGCUCCCACUAUGCAAAAUGUAACCCAUACAUGGAUUCUCCACAAUCAAUAGAAAGUCCUGUAUUUAACUCCUUCUCCUGAAGCAGGUUUUGCUGAACUGCUGAGCCUUGGCAGUGGGCGCCUUUGAGGCUUAGAAGUGCCUCAGGAUUCUGUCAGUCGGCUGCCAUGCUAUCUUCUUUUGACGCACUAUAACAGUCAGCAGAGAAGAUCCUGGGGAGCUUCUGAACCCCGAAGGCACCUGCUACCACCGCUCAGUGAAACUUGCUUCAGAGGCAGAAAGAAGCAGGUUUCCAAGCAACAAUCAGUGCUCCACACAUGCAUGCAUAUGCGCUAGAACUUCUAUUUGAUCAGUUGCAUGAAGGAGCUAAAGCUCUUGAUGUAGGAUCUGGAAGUGGAAUCCUUACUGCAUGUUUUGCACGUAUGGUUGGAUGUACUGGAAAAGUCAUAGGAAUUGAUCACAUUAAAGAGCUAGUAGAUGACUCAGUAAAUAAUGUCAGGAAGGACGAUCCAACACUUCUGUCUUCAGGGAGAGUACAGCUUGUUG